rnacentral:rRNA from 1 species
AUAACAGGCUAAUUUGCGCAAGAGUGUACAAAAUGAGUGCGCGGUUUGGCACCUCGAUGUCGGCUUAACUUAUCCUCAUGGAUGCAAGAACUAUGUAGGGUACGACUGUUCGUCGAUUAAAAAGUUACAUGAGCUGGGUUAAAUACGUCGUGAGACAGUAUGGUUUCCAUCCUCUAGAGGGAAUUAGAAUAUAAUAAGGAUUAACCUUUGUACGAAAGGAACUGG